GACGAACGCUGGCGGCAUGCCUAACACAUGCAAGUCGAACGAGACCUUCGGGUCUAGUGGCGCACGGGUGCAUAACGCGUGGGAACCUGCCCUUAGGUUCGGAAUAACUCCCAGAAAGGGGUGCUAAUACCGGUUAUUGUCUACGGACCAAAGUUUUAUCGGCUUUGGAUGGGCACGCGUUGGAUUAGCUAGUUGGUAGGGUAAAAGCCUACCAAGGCGACGAUCCAUAGCUGGUCUGAGAGGAUGAUCAGCCACACUGGGAACGAGACACGGCCCAGACUCCUACGGGAGGGAGCAGUGGGGAAUAUUGGACAAUGGGGGAAAGCCUGAUCCAGCAAUGUCGGGUGAGUGAUGAAGGCCUUAGGGUUGUAAAGCUCUUUUACCCGGGAUGAUAAUGACAGUACCGGGAGAAGAAGCUCCGGCUAACUCCGUG
rnacentral:rRNA from 1 species